CGGACGUCUUCGGCGUUCGAA
rnacentral:snRNA from 1 species